GACGGGACCGCACAAGCGGUGGAUGAUGUGGUUUAAUUCGAUGCAACGCGAAAACCUUACCCACCUUUGACAUGUACGGAAUCCUUUAGAGAUAGAGGAGUGCUCGAAAGAGAGCCGUAACACAGGUGCUGCAUGGCUGUCGUCAGCUCGUGUCGUGAGAUGUUGGGUUAAGUCCCGCAACGAGCGCAACCCUUGCCAUUAGUUGCUACGAAAGGGCACUCUAAUGGGACUGCCGGUGACAAACCGGAGGAAGGUGGGGAUGACGUCAAGUCCUCAUGGCCCUUAUAGGUGGGGCUACACACGUCAUACAAUGGCUGGUACAGAGGGUUGCCAACCCGCGAGGGGGAGCUAAUCCCAUAAAGCCAGUCGUAGUCCGGAUCGCAGUCUGCAACUCGACUGCGUGAAGUCGGAAUCGCUAGUAAUCGCGGAUCAGAAUGUCGCGGUGAAUACGUUCCCGGGUCUU
rnacentral:rRNA from 1 species